ACCUCACAGUGACCGAGGUUAGCUGGGAUGCUCUCAGACUGAACUGGACCACGCCAGAUGGAACCUAUGACCAGUUUACCAUUCAGGUCCAGGAGGCUGACCAGGUGGAAGAGGCUCACAAUCUCACGGUUCCUGGCAGCCUGCGUUCCGUGGAAAUCCCAGGCCUCAGGGCUGGCACUCCUUACACAAUCACCCUGCACGGCGAGGUCAGGGGCCACAGCACUCGACCCCUUGCUGUUCAGGUCGUCACAGCUAUGGGCUCCCCAAAGGAAGUCAUUUUCUCAGACAUCACUGAAAACUCGGCUACUGUCAGUUGGAGGGCACCCACAGCCCAAGUGGAGAGCUUCCGGAUUACCUAUGUGCCCAUUACAGGAGGUACACCCUCCAUGGUAACUGUGGACGGAACCAAGACUCAGACCAGGCUGGUGAAACUCAUACCUGGCGUGGAGUACCUUGUCAGCAUCAUCGCCAUGAAGGGCUUUGAGGAAAGUGAACCUGUCUCAGGGUCAUUCACCACAGCUCUGGAUGGCCCAUCUGGCCUGGUGACAGCCAACAUCACUGACUCAGAAGCCUUGGCCAGGUGGCAGCCAGCCAUUGCCACUGUGGACAGUUAUGUCAUCUCCUACACAGGGGAGAAAGUGCCAGAAAUUACACGCACGGUGUCCGGGAACACAGUGGAGUAUGCUCUGACCGACC
rnacentral:sRNA from 1 species